UGUGUUGUCCACAGUAGUCUGAAAUGCAAGU
rnacentral:piRNA from 1 species